AUUGAACGCUGGCGGCAUGCCUUACACAUGCAAGUCGAACGGCAGCACGGGAGCAAUCCUGGUGGCGAGUGGCGAACGGGUGAGUAAUAUAUCGGAACGUGCCCAGUCGUGGGGGAUAACGCAGCGAAAGCUGUGCUAAUACCGCAUACGAUCUACGGAUGAAAGCGGGGGAUCGCAAGACCUCGCGCGAUUGGAGCGGCCGAUAUCAGAUUAGCUAGUUGGUGGGGUAAAGGCCUACCAAGGCGACGCUCUGUAGCUGGUCUGAGAGGACGACGAGCCCCACUGGAACUGAGACACGGUCCAGACUCCUCCGGGGGGCAGCAGUGGGGAAUUUUGGACAAUGGGCGCAAGGCUGAUCCAGCUAUGCCGCGUGCAGGAUGAAGGCCUUCGGGUUGUAAACUGCUUUUGUACGGAACGAAACGGUGAGCUCUAAUACAGUUUGCUAAUGACGGUACCGUAAGAAUAAGCACCGGCUAACUACGUGCCAGCCGCCGCGGUAA
rnacentral:rRNA from 1 species